GAUCCUGGCUCAGAAUCAACGCUGGCGGCGUGCCUAACACAUGCAAGUCGAACGCGGUUAUCCAGCAAUGGAUGACUGAGUGGCGAACGGGUGAGUAACACGUGGGUGACCUACCUUCGAGUGGGGGAUAACGUCCCGAAAGGGACGCUAAUACCGCAUAACAUCCUGCCUUUGAACAGGCGGAGAUCAAAGCCGGGGAUCGCAAGACCUGGCGUUUGAAGAGGGGCCCGCGUCCGAUUAGCUAGUUGGUGAGGUAACGGCCCACCAAGGCGACGAUCGGUAACCGGCCUGAGAGGGCGGACGGUCACACUGGGACUGAGACACGGCCCAGACUCCUACGGGAGGCAGCAGUGGGGAAUUGUUCGCAAUGGGCGCAAGCCUGACGACGCAACGCCGCGUGGAGGAUGAAGGUCUUCGGAUUGUAAACUCCUGUUGCCAGGGACGAAAAGCUUCAACCUAAUACGUUGAAGUCUGACGGUACCUGGUGAGGAAGCCCCGGCUAACUCUGUGCCAGCAGCCGCGGUAAUACAGAGGGGGCAAGCGUUGUUCGGAAUUACUGGGCGUAAAGGGCGCGUAGGCGGCCUGUUAAGUCGAACGUGAAAUCCCCGGGCUCAACCCGGGAACUGCGUCCGAUACUGGCAGGCUUGAAUUCGGGAGAGGGAUGUGGAAUUCCAGGUGUAGCGGUGAAAU
rnacentral:rRNA from 1 species